rnacentral:rRNA from 1 species
CCUACGGGGGGCAGCAGUGGGGAAUAUUGGACAAUGGGCGAAAGCCUGAUCCAGCCAUGCCGCGUGUGUGAAGAAGGCCUUCGGGUUGUAAAGCACUUUCAGUGGGGAAGAAAGCCUUGGGGCUAAUACCCUCGAGGAAGGACAUCACCCACAGAAGAAGCACCGGCUAACUCCGUGCCAGCAGCCGCGGUAAUACGGAGGGUGCGAGCGUUAAUCGGAAUUACUGGGCGUAAAGCGCGCGUAGGCGGUCUGAUAAGCCGGUUGUGAAAGCCCCGGGCUCAACCUGGGAACGGCAUCCGGAACUGUCAGGCUAGAGUGCAGGAGAGGAAGGUAGAAUUCCCGGUGUAGCGGUGAAAUGCGUAGAGAGCGGGAGGAAUACCAGUGGCGAAGGCGGCCUUCUGGACUGACACUGACGCUGAGGUGCGAAAGCGUGGGUAGCAAACAGGAUUAGAUACCCGGGUAGUC